GCGCUCUUAGCUCAGUUGAAUAGAGCGUCUGACUUCGAAUUAGAAGACUAGAGGGUUUGGCUCCCUUGGAGCGCG
rnacentral:tRNA from 1 species